rnacentral:rRNA from 1 species
UACGGAGGGUGCAAGCGUUAUCCGGAUUCACUGGGUUUAAAGGGUGCGUAGGCGGCUUAUUAAGUCAGUGGUGAAAUACUCUAGCUCAACUAGAGGGGUGCCAUUGAUACUGAUGAGCUUGAGUACAGAUGAGGUAGGCGGAAUUGACGGUGUAGCGGUGUAAUGCUUAGAUAUCGUCAAGAACACCUAUAGCGAAGGCAGCUUACUAGGCUGUAACUGACGCUGAGGCACGAAAGUGUGGGGAUCAAACAGG